UCUACGGGAGGCAGCAGUGAGGAAUAUUGGUCAAUGGACGAGAGUCUGAACCAGCCAAGUAGCGUGAAGGAUGACUGCCCUAUGGGUUGUAAACUUCUUUUAUAUGGGAAUAAACUGUUCCACGUGUGGGAUUUUGUAUGUACCAUAUGAAUAAGGAUCGGCUAACUCCGUGCCAGCAGCCGCGGUAAUACGGGGGAUACGAGCGUUAUCCGGAUUUAUUGGGUUUAAAGGGAGCGUAGGUGAAUUUGUAAGUCAGUUGUGAAAGUUUUCGGCUCAACCGUAAAAUUGCAGUUGAAACUGGCAGUCUUGAGUACAGUAGAGGUGGGUGGAAUUAGUGGUGUAGCGGUGAAAUGCUUAGAUAUCACGAAGAACUCCGAUUGCGAAGGCAAGUGUCCGGGGUGCAACUGACGCUGAGGCUCGAAAGUGCGGGUAUCAAACAGGAUUAGAUACCCCAGUAGUC
rnacentral:rRNA from 1 species